rnacentral:rRNA from 1 species
UACAGAGGGUGCGAGCGUUGUCCGGAAUCACUGGGCGUAAAGGGCGCGUAGGUGGCGGCCCAAGUCCAUGGUGAAAGCUCGAUGCUCAACAUCGAGUCGGCCACGGAUACUGGGGUUGCUUGAGCACUGUAGGGGCAGAUGGAAUUCCUGGUGUAGCGGUGAAAUGCGCAGAUAUCAGGAAGAACACCCGUGGCUAAGGCGGCUCUCUAGUACGGUACUGACGCUGAGACGCGAAAGCGUGGGGAGCGAACAGG